rnacentral:tRNA from 2 species
GCGAGAGUGGCGGAAUUGGUAGACGCGCUGGUUUUAGGUACCAGUGUCAUUGACGUGGGAGUUCGAGUCUCCCCUUUCGCACCA